rnacentral:rRNA from 1 species
CCUACGGGUGGCAGCAGUGGGGAAUAUUGGGCCAUGGAGGCCACUCUGACCCAGCCCUGCCGCGUGAAUGAAGAAGGUCUUCGGAUUGUAAAGUUCUUUAAUCAGGGACGAAGAAGAUGAUGGUACCUGAAGAAUAAGCCACGGCUAACUGUGUGCCAGCCGCAGCGGUAAUACAUAGGCGGGAAGCGUUGUUCGGUAGGACGGGGCGUAAGGGGAGCGUAGGCGGUCUGUUAAGUUGGUAGUGAAAUCCCGGGGCUCAACGCCGGAACUGCGUUCACGACUGACGGACUUGAGUGUAAGAGAGGAAAGCGGAAUACCGAGUGUAGCGGUG